rnacentral:lncRNA from 1 species
CAAUAUUUUCCAAGUGAAAUGUAUGAACAGGUAUCUUCGGACUCAGAUUAUGAACAUGAAGUACGAUCAGGACGAAGCUUAAGCUAGACGAAGGAGGAUUGAGAUGAAGGACGGGCUGAUCACCAAGCUGUACGAAGGAUGGUGCAUAGCCGAAGCUAUGCGCAGGGAAGCUUCGGCAUGGUGGCAGAAAGGGGAACCGACUUAAAGAUGAAAAGACUACUUAGGCCCUGACAGAUCCCCAUAAGUCAUUAGCAAAUGUAGUGGACAUGAAUGUAAUUUUACAUGGGCUGCGUCCCACGUCUAUAAAUAGAUGAACAGUACUCCCGUACUGUUCACGCUGACUUGGCAUUUGCUUUUGCGUCACACUUGUAUUUUCAUCUCCUUCCAAGCCGAAGGUACAUUUGUAAUUCGAUAUUGUCUCUAUUUUUCUAUGAUGAUAUAAUAAAGUUAAAUUGAUGAUGUUAUAUGAUUAUUCAUGCUAUCUUUUAUGUUUCAUAUGCUUCGUCUUUCAUUAAUGUAUAAUGUGAUGAUGAAGGUUCGUCCUUCAUGACCUUCGUCCGAAGAUCGUUAUAUCCUAAGGGAAAUAAUGCUUCAAAGGACGAAGGACUUUAUCGUUUAACAUUCUCUGUGUUGCCUUGUUCUUAACUCAUAGCAUUUGAGAACAAGUCCCCAACAUUGGCGCCCACCUCCGGUGAACUCACUUCCACUUCGAGUUUUUUGAACACCUUCGGAAGCCUUAGACCCUCGCUAUGGCACCGAAGAAAGCUUCAGCGACUGGGGCUGCAGCUCUGCAACCGCUGGACCCUAACCAGGAAACUGUCUCUCUUCGGGAGGCCCGAAGCCAGAAGAGGAAGGCCGUCAGCCCGACGCUUCAGGAGGAUGAGCUAGACCAAGAAAUCAGGGAUAUGGAGAUGCUACAUCAACAGGUGCAGAGGAAGAAGGAGAAGAUGGCCCGACUAGCUGAGUUGCAAAGGCAGAUAGACGAAGCCUCUGAGGAAGUUCGCCAUCUUUCUCACGAUGAGCAGAACCGAAGGCCUCAGCAGAAAGACCUUCAUCAGGAGGGCUUCGUCAACGAAGAUGACUGGUAUGACAAUUUCCAUCAGGGAAAUUUUGUUUUCGAUGAUGCUUCUCCUCUGUCCGCUGAACUGCAGGCUACACCUUGGCCCCCGUCCUAUAAGCCACCCCAACUUCCCAUCUUCGACGGCCAUUCAGACCCGAAGCAGUUCUUGAUGAGCUACGAAGCAACAGUGUCUUCGUAUGGUGGCAAUGCUGCAGUCAUGGCAAAAUCUUUUGUUAUGGCUGUCAGGAGUGUUGCUCAGACCUGGUAUUCCUCCCUUCGACCAGGAACAAUCACUUCAUGGCAGAAGCUGAAGGAUAUGUUGUUAACCAGCUUUCAAGGGUUUCAGACGAAGCCGGUCACUGCUCAAGCCUUGUUCCAGUGCACUCAGGAUCAUGAAGAAUACCUUCAGGCGUAUGUCAGAAGGUUCUUGCGUUUGAGGGCGCAGGCACCAACGGUGCCCAAUGAAAUUGUCAUCGAGGCCAUGAUCAAGGGGCUUCGUCCUGGACCUGCAGCUCAAUAUUUUGCUAGGAAGCCUCCUCAGACUCUGGAGAAGCUGCUCCAAAAGAUGGACGAGUACAUUCGUGCCGACAAUGAUUUUCGCCAAAGAAGGGAGGAGGCUUUCAGAUUUUCUGAGAUGACCAGGGGCUUCGGAGGAAGAUUCUAUCCGAGGCAUGUCAGGUCCAUCCAUAACUCUACUCAAAGUGAUGAUAAGGGGAGUCAGCAGCACAGGCCGCAGCCCUCCUCAUAGGCUUCGGGGCAACAACAAAGCUUCUUCCGGCCACCAGCUCCAAGAGGUAGAGGCGCCAGGGGCUUUGGCGGAAGAUUUGGAGAUCAACCAAGGAGAAUAUUUUCCUUGUUUUGCGGUGAAAAUAAGGGCCAUACCACCAGGAUGUGCCAUGUUACCAUCCAAAAGCAAAAGGAGAUAGCCGAAGCUGCAGCACAACAAGCUCAGCCGAAGCAGGUCAUGCAUACUGCUUCGUACCAUGUGCCUUACAUCCCAGAAUACGUAGGUAACCACCCUGCAGUUUCUGUUGCUUCGGCAAGUCAACCUCAAGCUUCCUGGCAACAACCUCCGCCUCCACCACCGCUGCAACAAGGCCAACAGCCAGAAGGGAGCCAAUAUGCUCCACACCAAAGGGACUUCAGAGAGCAGUCCGAAGCUCGUACAGUCAAUAGCACCGUACCGGAGUCAAAGCACAUUUAUUGACAAGUAUCCUACCUUGAUAGCAGUCUUUUCCAUUUAGUUCUAUUUUCUGUAUAAUAAAGAACAUUUCGAUUUUCAUGUAAUAGUUUUGUGGUUGGUUAUAAGGGAAAUCUAUUUUCUCCGAAGGCUUAAGUUGCUGAAGCUUGAAAAUUUGCGGAGGACCUUCGAAUUAUUAAAAAUCCUUCGAAGUAACAAAAAGUCGUUCUAAGGAACGCAGAGUAAGUUGCUGAAAUUACAAAAAGCCGUUCCAAAGGGAGCGCAGUGUAAGUUUUUUGCUCCAAAGACGUUCUUAAGGGAAUGCAGAGCUUAUACCGCCUAAGUAAAAGGCGAAGAAGCUCCAAAGACAUUCCUAAGGGAAUGCAGAGCUUAUACCGCCUAAGUAAAAGGUGAAGAAGCUCCAAAGUCGUUCCUAAGGGAAUGCAGAGCUUACAGCGAAAAGUCAGCGCUGAUACAAAAAUAUUGUGUGGGGAUAUGUGUGUAUCUUUCGGAACAAAUGUCAUCUACAUAACAUAACAUCAUCACAUCAUUUUGCAUAGCAUAAGCAUCAUACAUCAUGUUGCAUAUGGCACAAGAAGGGGACACAAUAUUGAUCUUCGGAAGUAUGCUUUGAAAGAGUGAAAAUCGUGUUAAGUCACAACGAGACACAAUCUUCAUCUUCGGAGUAUAGCUUCGGAGAAUGUUUUCACGAAGCUUGGAUAUUCUUCAUCAGAGCACUAUGGACAUUGUUGUGAUACAUAAAUUUUUUUUUUCUUCACGAAGCAUGAAAAGAAGGGAAGGUGUUUUUUCGCCGAAGGCUCAAAAGCGGUACGUAUGUAAAGUUUCAUGCAUCGUAAAGAAUUGAAUAAUGAAAAGAGACUUGUAUAUUACAUUCAAAUGUACAAAAUACUACAUAAAUCACACUUCAAAUGUUUUUCCUAAUAACACCUAGUCUUCUCUUAAUACUACUUCGGCAGCCUCAUUUAGAAGCUGUUCAACAACUUUAUCCACGAUAGUUUCGGCCAUUUGUUUAAUUUCGUCAUCCCCUUUUGUGUGAGGGUCAGCAGACGAUCCAGCAGGUUCUGAGGGAAGAGAAUAUUUUUGCAUUACUAUUACAAACCGCGAACAAAGUUUGAAAUAAAAAUUACAACACGAUACAAACUAUUAAUUAAUACCUAAUUGACCUUCGGGCUCUGCGCUCUUUUCAGCAGCCUUAGCCACUUCUCUAGCAUCGUGAAUGCCCUUUUCACUUCUUUGAAUAAUUUCUCCUGCCAUUUCUCGGCCACCAUUAUCCCAGACGUCGGUGAAAAAUUUUCCACCAACUUGGCUAGCUUCGGUCGAGGGGUCUUUAAUAUCUUCAGCGGAUAAAGUGGCUUCGGAUUGCGCAAGCAGCUUAAUAUGAUCACAACCUUUCUUCUCUAGAACAGUAGCAACUCCUCUGGCGCCCGAAAAUGCGCAGAUAUCACCGCGGCUGCUCAGGAUUUCCUCGAAAGCUUCUGCUUCAUGACUAAUCCAUUCCAAUGGACCUUCGGGAUUGCCUCUGGAGAAACUUUCUUCACUAGAAAAUGCGCCAACGCUGGCGAAGCUGGAUCUUAUCUUUUUGACGCAUUCUAUAGAUUUAACAUAGCAUUUCCUCUGGGAUGCACGAAGCUCCUGAGCACUUAACUCUAAAUGAUUAACCAACUGAUCACUAAGCUCUCGUUUUGUUUCUUCAAGCACACGUUCCUCUUUAGCUCUAGCUAGUUGUUUCUGAAGAUCUUUAAUCUCACGUUUUUGGGCUUCGGCCUGGAUCUUUGAGGCAGCUUCGUCCUUUUUUACCUUGUCUACCAAUGUAAGCAGAAUUUUAUCCUUUUCCAGAGCUUCGUUUCUCAGUUUAAUAACUUCUGACCGAAGGUUGUUGAACGCAAUUUCAUAGCUCUCAUCUUCGGCACUCUUUUGUGCUCUUAAUGCGUUGCUUAGGAUUAAACCCUAUAUAUAAAGACUUGGUAUAAGAAUAAAAGAAGGAAUUACGUAUUGUAAAAUUUUUUCAAAACGUCUAAUUUCCAUACCUUUAGGCUGUUAUACGCAAGACUGUCCGCGAGAUCCUCCUUCGUCAUAGCACAUAAUCCAGCUUCGAGCUUCGGGAACCCCAUACUUCUAGCCAUCUCUCGGCAGACAGAUAAUUCUUUGUUAUCAGGGAGGCAAUAUAGGAAGUCAUCCUCAUUUGUCCCAUUGAACACCACUGCUCCCUUUGGAUAUUUUAACUCUCUGGCAUAGUGAUUGGCUUCAUAAGUCUCUUCUUCAGAUAAUUUUUUCCCCGAAGCAUGUCGUAUGAUAUAAUCGCAUGUGCUGGCAGGAGCUUCGGGGACGGCAGUGUCAGUCUCCUCAACCAAAACUGGUUCUGAUGUUUUUUCGGUUUCCAAAGAUUGUUCCUUGGUGGGCUCUGAAGGCCCAGCUUCAGCUUCAUCUUCAGCUUCAGCUUCAGCCUCAGCUUCAGCUUCAACUUCAGCUUGUUGCUUCGAAGCUUCAGUAGACGCUUCAGCAAGUUCAACAGUCUUCUUUGGAGUUGUGCUUGAAGACAUAAUUGUCUCCAAGACAUCUAGUACGUUCACCAUUCUUUUUCUUUUUGGGGUCACCAGUGGGCCCUUUUGGAUUUUUCUUGUUUCGACAUUUGCUGAAGGACUUAAGAUUUCCAAUAUUUUUUGUCCUUCAAUUCUCGGUUUUUCCGCCUUCUCUGCUAAAGGCGCUUCAGAUUUCUCUUCUAUCUUCAACACUGGAGCUGGUUCUGUAGCUUCAGAGGCCAAGGAAACUUCACCAAUGAAUUCUGGCACUGUGGCUGGCUCAAUAAAGCGCGCUCGGUGGGUGAGCACCUUCAUCUUUUUCCUUUGCGGCGCUGGCUCAUUAGUGGCACUUGUGGUAGUUUCUGUUGCAGGAGAAGUAUUCUUUCUUUUGCGACCCAAUACCGGAUAGUGAUAGUCAGGGUAGACAAACCCGACUGCGUCAAAUACCCGGUUGAGUCUUUUCUUCUUUCGGCCUCCGAAGGCUGCUGAUAAUGCAGUGUUCUCGGCCUUCGAAUAUGCCCCAAGCAGUUCGUCACUUAAUGUUUCAAUGCUUUUCAACCAGUCGUCAUCAGGUUCAACAAAUUUAUCCCCGUAUUUGAAUGUGUAUUUUAGUCUGACCAGUCCGCCUUCGUCGGACUCUUUGAUGGUCUCCUUCGGCAUUUCCCACUUUCCUGCAAGUGGCCACACCCUGAAGGCAAUAUGUUCUUGAAUCAAGUCCCUUGUUCCAAUAAAAGAGCAGACUACGCCGAAGGCUCUUUGGCAUUCCUCGACUGCUUCAUCCAUUUUAACCUUCGGCCUUCGAAGUCCGAAGCGUUGCCAGAUGGGGCGCAUAAUGAUACUCUUGACAUCUUCUUGCGCUGUUAGGUCAUUCUUUACAUAGAACCAUUCAGUCAUCCAGGCUCCGGGCCAUCUCUUCCGAAAGGUCGGCACAGGGCAGCUUGACCCGGAGCGGGCAACGAAGCUGUAACACCCAAAGUUGUUGUGAUAUUGUUCUUUCCCCCAGGGCUUCGUCUCAUAUAACAACUCAUGAAUGUUGCAAAAGCUUUUGGCAUUUGGUUCUAAACCUUGGCUUCUCGCAGCCCAGACAAACAUCCCCAUUCUUAUGAUAGCUUCGGGAGUAAUUUGAUGAAGGUAGAUUUGAAAUGAUUUCAGAACUUCAACAACAAAGUUGCUUAGGGGGAAUCGAAGCCCAGCCUUGAGAAAGCUUCGGAAGAUUACGACUUCAUCUUCUUCGGGGGUGGGAGAAGUUUUUUCUCUAGUAUCAGCUCUCACAAUAGAUAUAUCUCGAAAAUACCGCCCCCUCAUAUUAUCAAUAUGACUCUGCUUAAUGGUGGUUUUCCCGAAAACCGCGUGACUUGGCCGCCAUGGCCGAUCUUCGGACUCUUCCCCACCACUUUCUACAUCGUAACUGUCGCUGUCACCAGUAUCUUCAGACAAGCCUUCCAGGAUCUCCUUGGUGAUUUUUUCCGUAUUGGUCUCCGCCAUCGCUAUAAGGAACCCCAGGUUCUUCUCUUCAGAGAGACUCAGCUUCAUCUCGGGACCGGCCUUUUUGUCUUCAGACAUCUUCGGAAAUGCUAAAAACUGUUUUCAAUGCCGAAGCUUCAAAACUAAAAGCUCAGUAAAUUUUUGCGCGCAAGAGCUAAAAUUGAGUAAGCGGGGGCAGUUGGCAAGUGUGCGUACCAAAAUGAGUUUGUGGUAUGAUCUUAUUUAUACGCCCAGUGCGUUGAAAAUUGAAAGACCCGCUUGUCAGUGAAUGUUGCUAUUCUAGCAAAGGGAAGGUGUUUUUUCGGACCUUCGGCUUAAGGCCUUCGUCCAUAUCGCAAUCUAAAUUUAUCACUAACAAAUUAAUAUUGCGAGGGGCUACUGUUGGGGGCCUUCGUCCUCCGAAGGUCCUCAAAAAAACAUGAUUUGACAAUAUUUUCCAAGUGAAAUGUAUGAACAGGUAUCUUCGGACUCAGAUUAUGAACAUGAAGUACGAUCAGGACGAAGCUUAAGCUAGACGAAGGAGGAUUGAGAUGAAGGACGGGCUGAUCACCAAGCUGUACGAAGGAUGGUGCAUAGCCGAAGCUAUGCGCAGGGGAGCUUCGGCAUGGUGGCAGAAAGGGGAACCGACUUAAAGAUGAAAAGACUACUUAGGCCCUGACAGAUCCCCAUAAGUCAUUAGCAAAUGUAGUGGACAUGAAUGUAAUUUUACAUGGGCUGCGUCCCACGUCUAUAAAUAGAUGAACAGUACUCCCGUACUGUUCACGCUGACUUGGCAUUUGCUUUUGCGUCACACUUGUAUUUUCAUCUCCUUCCUAGCCGAAGGUACAUUUGUAAUUCGAUAUUGUCUCUAUUUUUCUAUGAUGAUAUAAUAAAGUUAAAUUGAUGAUGUUAU